AUCGCUUCUCGGCCUUUUGGCUGAGAUCAAGUGUAGAACUGCUCUCGAUGAAGCAGUAAAAAUGAUUAAUUUUAUUAAACCUCAACCCUUGCAUACAUGUCUUUUUAUAUCCUGUGUGGGGAACUGGGAAGGGCUCAUCAAACACUCGUGCCCCACACAGAAGCGGUGGUCUCCAGGAAAAGCCCUGUGCUUUUUCUCC
ensembl:snRNA U2 U2 spliceosomal RNA